ACAGGGAUUGCCUCAGUAACUGCGAGUGAAGCGGCAAGAGCUCAAAUUUGAAAUCUGGUACCUUUGGGUGCUCGAGUGUAAUUUGGAGAGGCAACUUCGGAGGAGGCGCUGGCCUAAGUUCCUUGGAACAGGACGUCACAGAGGGUGAGAAUCCCGUGCUUGGCUGGGCUGUCCUCCUUCAUGUGAAGUGUCUUCGACGAGUCGAGUUGUUUGGGAAUGCAGCUCAAAAUGGGUGGUAAACUCCAUCUAAGGCUAAAUAUUGGCGAGAGACCGAUAGCGCACAAGUAGAGUGAUCGAAAGAUGAAAAGCACUUUGAAAAGAGAGUUAAACAGUACGUGAAAUUGUUGAAAGGGAAGCGCUUGAGACCAGACUCGGUGGCAGGUGAUCAGCGGUUGCUUUUGCUCCGUGCACUUGCCUGCUAUCGGGCCAGCAUCAGUUGCGGCGGUGGGAUAAAGCCUCAGGGAAUGUGGCUCCCUUCGGGGAGUGUUAUAGCCUUGAGGGUAAUGCCACCUGCUGCGACUGAGGACCGCGCUUCGGCUAGGAUGCUGGCGUAAUGGUCUUCAGCGACCCGUCUUGAAACACGGACCAAGGAGUCUAACAUCUAUGCGAGUGUUCGGGUGUAAAACCCCUACGCGUAAUGAAAGUGAACGGAGGUGGGAACUCCUUGGAGUGCACCAUCGACCGAUCCUGAUGUCUUCGGAUGGAUUUGAGUAGGAGCAUAGCUGUUGGGACCCGAAAGAUGGUGAACUAUGCCUGAAUAGGGUGAAGCCAGAGGAAACUCUGGUGGAGGCUCGCAGCGGUUCUGACGUGCAAAUCGAUCGUCAAAUUUGGGUAUAGGGGGCGAAAGACUAAUCGAAC
rnacentral:rRNA from 1 species